rnacentral:rRNA from 1 species
CCUACGGGGGGCAGCAGUGAGGAAUAUUGGUCAAUGGACGAGAGUCUGAACCAGCCAAGUAGCGUGAAGGAUGACUGCCCUAUGGGUUGUAAACUUCUUUUAUAUGGGAAUAAAAUGUUCCACGUGUGGGAUUUUGUAUGUACCAUAUGAAUAAGGAUCGGCUAACUCCGUGCCAGCAGCCGCGGUAAUACGGAGGAUCCGAGCGUUAUCCGGAUUUAUUGGGUUUAAAGGGAGCGUAGGUGGAUUGUUAAGUCAGGUGUGAAAGUUUGCGGCUCAACCGUAAAAUUGCAGUUGAAACUGGCAGUCUUGAGUACGGUAGAGGUGGGCGGAAUUCGUGGUGUAGCGGUGAAAUGCUUAGAUAUCACGAAGAACUCCGAUUGCGAAGGCAGUUCACUGGACUGCAACUGACGCUGAGGCUCGAAAGUGUGGGUAUCAAACAGGAUUAGAUACCCGUGUAGUC